UUUUUUUUUUUUUCUUUCCCUUCUUUUUCCUUUUUCUCUUUUCUCUUUUUUUUUUUUUUUUCAAACAGCAAUUGAGUAAUCAAGGUGAACAACUAACAUCUUAUGAGGAAAGGUAUAGUCUAUCAAUUUCCCA
rnacentral:ribozyme from 12 species